rnacentral:rRNA from 1 species
AGCUCCAAUAGCGUAUAUUAAAAUUGUUGCAGUUAAAAAGCUCGUAGUUGGAUUUCUGGUACGGCGCACUUGGCCCGCUUCGGUUACGAGGUCGAGUGCCGGUGUGCGCCUGCCACCCUUCUAGAGUACGACUCUCCCUUCAGUGGGUUGGGCCGGAAUCUAGAUCAUUUACUUUGAAAAAAUUAGAGUGUUUAAAGCAGGCUUACGCUAUGAAUACAUUAGCAUGGAAUAAUAAUUUAGGACUUUGGUCUUAUUUUGUUGGUUUCUAGGACUAAAGUAAUGAUUGAUAGGGACAGUUGGGGGUGCUAGUAUUCAGCGGCCAGAGGUGAAAUUCUUGGAUUCGCUGAAGACUAACUUAUGCGAAAGCAUUCACCAAGGAUGUCUUCU